rnacentral:tRNA from 1 species
CAAUAAUACACUCGAUUAAUUGCAUUGGAUAGGGAAAUACCAUUUUGGAGAGUGGACUGAACUUCUUUUGGUAUUUCCUCUUUUAAGGAAUACAAUUACCAAAUGAUCGCGUGGCCUAAUGGAUAAGGCGCUCGCCUCCGGAGCGGGAGAUUGUGGGUUCGAGUCCCAUCGCGAUCGUUAUAUGUCUUUUGUUAAAAAUGCUAAAACAUCCUAACUUCUUAGCCAUGUCAGUGAAUUUUUGUACAUCAAAUCUCCCCUUUUCGUCACAUUGGUCAUCCCCCCCUCUCAAUAUUGCGUUGUCUACGCUCAUAUACCACAACAUAAAUCUUAAAAUCUGUGUACCAAGUAUAUUUCUUGUUGGAACACUUGUCAAGAAUAAGGGCCAGAAGAGAAAAUACAAAGCAAAGGAGAAAAACGAUUGCUCAGUGUCACAAAGGUCCUAAGUUACAAAAAUUUUUUACUACCAGUAACAUCACUAUCACGGUGAGUGUUGCUUUACCUCUUGAAUAAGAAUACUAGUACUGGUGCUAAAGGUCGGUUUAACAUCUGGAGCUUGCAACAAAUCCAAUCGUCAACUGACAAUCCAGAUGCAAAACUUUCAACUGUCUCCAAUUCUUCCCUGGAUAGUACAAGCAAAAGAUACAUACUCUUCACACCAGUUAACAAAAGAUAUAAUCUCCAAAAUGAAAUUGGCAAUAAUAACAGAACAAGGCAAAAGAAAUGAUGUACGAAGAAACAGAAAAAUAAUAUUUUCCAGAUAUAUGGUGUAGGCUAUAUCAAACUCCAUCAAAAUGCAUUAUGAAUUGCAACCACAGUGAUAAGUAGGUUAUUUUCUAUAUUUAUGUAACUUCAUUUUGAAUGACUAUAAUGAAUUCUCAAAACACACUAAUAAUAUCAUGUAAAAUAGCAAACAUACAAAUCCAUGAUCAAAUGAUUACCAAUCCAUGAUCAAACGAUUCCCGUGUCAUGGACUUGAAGAGCUGAAUUCUCCUUAAGAUUCAUACUAGGUACGCAUCAUACAGAAAUAAAAACUUGAUGGAAAAGCAACAAAAUCUGAAGUCAACUAAUCAUGCUUAUUUUUUGUUUCAAGCACCAGAGCGAAGUAACAGAUGUAUAGUAUGAGUAAAUAGUUGAGACAGCAACGAGAAUCAAGCAGACAAAAUAUUUACCAUCCACCAGGAUGUCCCACAUAUACAACCACACUGAUGAGCCCUCCAGGCACCAAGAUCCUCUUUGCAGCCUCUAAUGCCAACAUGGUUGUUUCUGGAACUGUAGUUAGAGCUUUGUCACCUCCUGGAAGGUAGCCCAGGUUAAAUGCAACAAGCCUGAUAAAACCCACAGCAUUAGAUUUCUUCAAUCAAAACCAGCAGUAACGCUGAAGGAAAAGAUCUUCCUUCUUCCUAGUAAAGGAAACUUCGGACUGUUGAGUUUACAACAAGAAGAAGAGACUCAUAAAAGAGGUUCAAAGGAAAGAAGACGGCAAGAAAAGAAAAUUUAAAGAGGUUCAAUUUUAUCAAAUUAUUUUGGGAUCAACAGUCUCCGUAAAUAUCUUCAUUUGUAAAGACAACAAAAUAGCAAAGAGCCAAAGACAAAUACAAACUUGAGUACAAUGAGUACCUUACAGGACUAUUUUCAGGAACAAUUUCUUCCAUUCUACCGUGACAGAUGGAAAAGAGCUUGACAAGUUCUUUCUCCUUUGGAGUGACAUUUUCAUCCAACAAAGAAGAAGUAUUCUCUAAAGCAUCUCUCUGGAUGUCCACUCCAUAAACACGAGCAGUGCCUGAUUCAUCAGCCACCAUUUUAAGCAGGGCUAAUGUGUCAUAGCCAUUGCCACAAGUGGCAUCUAUUACCGUGUCCCCUUUCUCCACCACAUGCUUCCAUACCCUACGAAUGGGCUACUUCCGUUGCCUUCUUCUUGCCCAAAACAUAACCCACCAAAUUAUCCUCUAAACCUGAAAGGGGAAAUUCAAUUGAGGAUGUUGUAAUAUUGGAAGUAGGUGUAGGAGUAGCAUAGAAUUUUCGAUUUUGGUGAAUAUUAGAAAUAGGCUGGGAGAGAAAGGAGAGAUUAGAUGAGAAGCAACGGGUAGGAUUUGGGGUUGGGAGAGGUAUAGUGCUGUUGCUCAGACAGUUAGUGACGUUUUUGCAGAUUCUUUUCAAGUAAUUUGAUUGCGGGAAACAUCUGAGUCCUAACAUUUUCCUUUCUGUGGAUUAGCGUUUCGUUUUCCUUCCAUAUUUCCGAG